rfam:Puccinia graminis f. sp. tritici CRL 75-36-700-3 supercont2.5 genomic scaffold, whole genome shotgun sequence.
GGCUGCCUGGCCCAAUGGUCAAGGCGCUUGACUACGACUGCUCGUAACGAAGCAGUUGACAUCAAGAGAUUCCAGGUUCGAGUCCUGGGGUGGUCG